rnacentral:lncRNA from 1 species
GUGAUACUUGAGCUUUAUAAUUAUAAGAUGCUAGAAGAUAAUGAAAUUAAGAUUUUAAAUAUCAUGCCCUAUUUAAAUGGCAGUUGUUUUUGGCUGGAUUAGGAGUCAGCACAGGGUUUCGCUCUGUUGGGUAAAUACUCAUCAGCCUGUGAUGACACCGUGAUUAGUGGGUCUCGGUCGGAAAUGAGAUUGCCUUUGCUACCUGGAGCUCCAGCUCCUGGCGUCUUUCAGGCCACCUGGGGAGAAAUCACAGGACUACACAAGGCGUCGUGGUAGCACCGGGGCAGGUUGCUGGAGCCGCUGAGAACAGCUGUCCCUAGCUCAGGGUUAGAGUCGAAUGGGAAACCUGGGUAAUUGGAUCAACAGCCAGAUGUAAUUGCCAACAAACAACAGAGUGAAGUUCCGGCUGAUGAGCUUGCAGCGCAAUUAUUUGCUUUAAUGAAAGAGCACAGUUCGCUCCAGGGGCAGAAACUGCACACGGCCCGCAGUGUCCGUGCAGGUGCUCCGGACCCCUGCAGGUGCAGCCCCGGCCAUUCCUGCCCCAGUGACUUCGGGGUGCUCAUCAUCCCCACUUUAGGGGUGGAGGGACCUGAGGUUCACAGAGCCGCCUUCCUGUGUGCAACGCCACCCAGCGAAGGGCAGAGCUGAAAUUCAGGCCUCAUUCUAGGUCGUCUCCAGGAGACGAUUCUGCAAAGAAAUCUGAGCCAUUAGCGCCGCGCCUCUACAGCCUCCCCAGUGCAGUCAGUGGCUAGGGCCUGGAAGAGGCGAGGCCCAUCCACCUGCACAGAGGAAAACCUCCCUGUACUGCCUCCCACCCGGCCCUGUUCAGAGCGCCCUCUGCCGGCCCCUCGGGGAGGAUGAAGACCAGAGCAGCGAGACCCCCCCCCCCCCAGGCCCGCGCCCUCUAACGUCUGCGACGGGGAAGGCGGCGCGGCGCGCCGCACGUGCAGGUGCGGAAGCAGCCGCACCUGGGUCCACAGCCCCGCCCCGCGCGGCCCCUCAGCCGCCUUUGCGCAAUCCCGCUUCACUUCCUUUCCUGUCCUGCCCCUCCUCUCCGUUUCUAAUAGUGCAGUUAAGUCGAUGAACUUUCUUGUCCCCAGAUUCACAAGCAGCAGUGGCCACCCUGGGUGUGGGUCGGGAGUCGCCAUGGGGCUGUCUGGUUCCACACGAGGCACACGGGGAAGACAGGGAAUCGGAAUGAAGAGCAGGCCAGCUUUGCAGCGGGGCACAGAGCCUGGCCAGGGUGUCCACCUCGGAGCUGGCGGAGUGGCCCCUGCCUUAGGAGAGUCAGAGGCCUCUGCAGGGUGGACGCGACACGCCCGCAGGCGCUCAGAAAGAUGCGAAGCAGAGCUCGGCCUCGCAGGCCCAGCCAGAGAAGGCUCAGGCAGGGCCACGGGCACGGACCCUCGGCCAGACCCCGGCCACAGGGGCAGCGCACGCCCGCAAGUUGUAUUAGCUUUCCUGUGGCUCAGACACGACUCCUGACAGCUGUACCUCGAGGAGGAGAGGUUUAGUUUGCUGGAGAUUUCAGCCCAUGCUGGGGGGGGGCUCCGAGGGAGAACCGUCGUGGCGGGUCGGUGGGAGGAGCAGGGGCAGCACCAGAAGGGCGGGGUGAGAGGUCAGAUAGACCCCACGGCCGUGAUCCCGCCAGGCUGUGUUCCACUCCCCCAUGCGCCACACCGUGGGGUGAGUUUAGCUGCACGUGGGCUGCUCCCCGCAGGCUGGCAAAGUUAACCCUUGUUUGGGCCUAGGACAUCGGCUGGGCCGCCUGCGCGCUGGGACGUCUGGCUGUGGGGUUGCACGGUGGCUUGGAGUGUGAGGGCCCCGUAAGAGAAGCGGUCAAACGCGUGCAGACGCAACUGGGUGCUGAAGAAAAGGAACUGCUCCACCGCGGCCAGGAGCUUCAGGACUGGAUCGGGACAGCCAGAAUGACAGUCGAGCAGAGUGACAUCACGCAGGGAACGCCAGAGCCAGCUGGAACAGCAAACUGGAGGGUUCUUCUAUUUCCCUGGGCAGGGACCCGAGGCACGGGAAGCGGGGUGACCGGAUGCAGGGCCCUCGGGGAGGGGAGGCCAGGUGAGGGCCUGGCGCUUCCUCCCAGCCCGGCUUGUUAUCGCUGCUGACCCGGGACGACGUGCGGCGGCUUUUCUGGGUGGUUAUUACGCGAACACACUCACGGCGGGAAACAUCUGUUGUUGGACACAGCACUGUAGGCACAGCCGUGCCUGGUUGGCGGCCCCCAGCACCGGUGCGGAGGGGCAGCAAGGCCAGCACCACACCCGGCCUCCACGCGCACCUGCACCUGGGGCCCUGCAGAACCCCGACAGCGACUGAGGGGGACGCACGGGCAGGUGGGUGCGGCACAGAGGCAGCUGCUGGGGGCCAGCUGUGCUCUGGUAGCCUGGGAAGAGAGCAGAGGGGGAGCUCUUCUCACGGGGCAG